GCGUCCAUAGCUCAGUGGUAGAGCAUUGACUGUAGAUCAAUAGGUAAUCACGACAUAUAUGAAUUGAGAUGCAUGCA
rnacentral:tRNA from 1 species